AGUGAACGCUGGCGGCGUGCCUAACACAUGCAAGUCGAACGGAUCUUAAGGGCUUGCUCUUAAGGUUAGUGGCGCACGGGUGAGUAACACGUAGCUAACCUGCCCCAUAGUAAGGGACAACAGUUGGAAACGACUGCUAAUACCUUAUACUCCUUCUCUGCCUAAGUAGAGUCGGGAAAGUUUUUUCGCUAUGGGAUGGGGCUGCGGCCUAUCAGCUUGUUGGGGAGGUAAUGGCUCACCAAGGCUAUGACGGGUAGCUGGUCUGAGAGGAUGAUCAGCCACAUUGGAACUGAGACACGGUCCAAACUCCUACGGGAGGCAGCAGUGGGGAAUUUUACACAAUGGGCGAAAGCCUGAUGUAGCAACGCCGCGUGGAGGAUGAAGGAUUUAGGUUCGUAAACUCCUUUUAUAGGGGAAGAAAUUUGACGGUACCCUAUGAAUAAGCACCGGCUAACUCCGUGCCAGCAGCCGCGGUAA
rnacentral:rRNA from 1 species